AAAUGUGUUGAGGCACAGCGGUCGAGAUGAAGUUUAGGGGUAAAGCACUGUUUCGGUGCGGGCUGCGAGAGCGGUACCAAAUCGAGGCAAACUCCGAAUGCCGUGCGGGUGUGGCGUGGCAGUGAGACCGCGGGGGAUAAGCUUCGUGGUCGAGAGGGAAACAGCCCGGAUCGCCGGCUAAGGCCCCUAAGCGUGCGCUAAGUGGGAAAGGAUGUGCGGUCGCGUAGACAGCCAGGAGGUUGGCUCAGAAGCAGCCAUCCUUGAAAGAGUGCGUAAUAGCUCACUGGUCGAGUGGUCGUGCGCCGACAAUGUAGCGGGGCUUAAGCGUGCCGCCGAAGCCGCGGACUCCUCCGUGAGGAGGGGUGGUAGGG
rnacentral:rRNA from 1 species